rnacentral:rRNA from 1 species
UACGUAGGGACCAAGCGUUGUUCGGAUUUACUGGGCGUAAAGGGCGCGUAGGCGGCAAUUCAAGUCAUCUGUGAAAUCUCCGGGCUUAACCCGGAACGGUCAGGUGAUACUGUUUUGCUAGAGUGCGGAAGGGGCAAUCGGAAUUCUCGGUGUAGCGGUGAAAUGCGUAGAUAUCGGGAAGAACACCCGUGGCGAAGGCGGCUCUCUGGGACGGUACUGACGCUGAGACGCGAAAGCGUGGGGAGCGAACAGG